UAGAGACGGGGUUUCACCGUUUUAGCCGGGAUGGUCUCGAUCUCCUGACCUCGUGAUCCGCCCGCCUCGGCCUCCCAAGACAAAGACUCUUAAAAGCAGCAAGAGAAAAGUGAAUGGCCACAUACAAGGGGCCCUCAGUAGGAUUAAUGGCUAAAUUCUCAUCAGAAACUGAUUCUGGAAGUUAAUUGAAUGUUUAUUCAAAGUGAUGAGAGAUAAUACUGUGAGCCAAGAAUUCUGUGUCCAGUACAACUAUCCUCCAAAAUUGAAGGUGAAAUUAAGACAUUACAAGAUAAACAGAAACUGAAAAAAUGUGUCACUAGCAGACCUGUUGUACAACAAAUACUAAAGGAAUGCUGUAGGCCAAAAUAAAUGACACUAGAGAGUAACUCAAAUCUGCAUAAAGAAAUAACAUCAGUAAAGGUAACUAAAUAGGUAAAUAUAAAAGACAGUAUAAAUGUAUUUUUUUGUUUGCAAAUUUUUUCUUCUGUAUAAUUUAUAAGACAAUUGUAUAAAGCAAUAAUUAUAAAUCUAUGUUGAUGGUGGUACAACACAUAAAGGCAAUUUGUGUGACAAUAACUGCACAAAGGAGGGAUGAGGGAACAAAGUUUUAUAUACUAUUGAAAUUAGGUUGAUAUUAAUCUGAGCUAGACUGUUAUAAGUUAAAAUACAAUACUGUAAUGACCAGAACAACACUAAUACAUGACUUAAAAAAAAGAGUGAAAGAAACAAGGGGAUUAAAAUAGCAGACUAAAAAAAUACCUACUUAACACAAAAGAAUGCAAUGAUUUAAGGAUAGAGAAACAAAAAAGACAUAGGAAAUGGAAAACAAAUAGCAAAAUGGCAUACAUAAAUCACACCUUAUCAGUAAAUACAUUAAAUGUAAAUGUAUUAAAUACUUCAUUUAAAAGGCAGGGAUCCUCAGAAUGGAUAAAAAUUAUCUAAAUAUAUGGUGUCUACAAAAGACACGUUUAAAUUCAAAGAAGCAUAUAGGUUGAAAGUAAAAUAAUUUAAAAAUUUAUACCAUCCAAACAGUAACCAAGAGAGCUGAGUGACUACAUUAAUAACAGACAAAAAGGCUUUACGUAAAAACCUGUUACAAAAUACAAAUAAUGGCAUUAUAUAUUAAUAAAAAUGUUAAUUUACCAUAAGAUAUAAUGCUUAUAAACAUAUAACUAAAAUCAACCUGAAAACAGUGUCCCACAACACAUGAAACAAAAACUGACAAAAUUGAAGGAAGAUACAGGCAAAUCAAUAAUAAUAGUUGGAGACUUCAGUGCCUCAAUUUGAAUAGGACAAUUGGGAAGAAGAUCAGUAUGGGACUAAACUACUUCAUCAAUGCUAAAAUUCAACUAGAUUUAAUAGGCAUACACGGAACACUGCCCAAAAAAAAUCAGAAUAAAAUAAGUCUGAAGUAUGGAAUCCCGUAUGAAAAGUGGAAUGAGUUGGGACUGAGAAUAAUUAGAGAGUAGAAAAUAGGAAGCCAAGAUGGGUUUAAGCAAAAGGAAUUUGUAAAAGGCAAAGUGGUUCACAUGUUUGUGUCUUCAGAUCUUGAAGACAUCCAGCUGAGUUUUCUGACACAAUUUUCUUUCAUCAGGAUACACCCCCUACCCCCACUUAAUCACCCAAGUCAUAACCUCUCCUUCCCCCUUACAGAUAAACCCUGGUGUCUAACACAUUCUACUUUCAUCUCUACCCUCAUCAAGAGGGUGACAUUCUUCUCUCAAGGUUAUGGGGAUAUUGGAGGUGAGAGAAGAGUUUAUUCCUGAAUCAUGGAAAUGAACACACUGAAAUCAGAUCUUCCUUCCCGGUGUGGAUUUGUUCCCAGGUGUCAGCCUGCAGAGUUGGGUCACCAACCAGUUGCAAUGAUGCACAGGGAGAAGAUUCUGUCAGGUUCUUGUCUAAGAACAGAGGAGGUCAGAGCCUGGAGACUGGGUCUGGGAUUCUGUCCUGAGGAGACACAGGUUUCCAGAGAAGCAGGUUCACCUUAUGAACAUUGAGUGAUCACCCUGAAAAAAGCAUGCCCCAGGAGAAUGAGAGACAUGUGGUGUGGGCCUGAAUCUUACCUGUGGCCUGAAGGAGGGUUGCCCCAGCUGACCUGUGGACCCCUGAGCAUGAGAAUACAUGUUUAUUAGUGGUAACCACUUACAUUUUGGCUGUCUUGCUAUGCUGCAUUAUUGAAGAAAAUAAUGCAUUAGUUGACUAAUGUGCUGCACCUGCAUCUUUCUUAUCUGAUGAUUGGGACUCUGCAUCUCCGUGUUCUCAGACAACCCUACAUCGCUCCAUGCCUGUAGCUUGAACUUUGUGGACCAACUUUUAUAUGAUUUCACACUAACCUAAACAAAAUCAGCUCUUCAGUUUUAGAGGUAGAAGUUAUCAUAAAGUCAUUUAGUCCAACUUUAUUGUUUGAUAAAUGAAGAAGGCAAGAGAAAAGACAAUUCGGUAAAGUCUUGCUGUUCUUAGAGGCUCAGAGAGGAUCCAGGCAUUCUGGACUGCCCUUCUGUGUGUCUUUUCAUUUUGCCAAAUGACUUUUAAUUUCAUGAAUUGGGUGUUUCCAGAUGCUGCAAAUCGACUUUUAGCACUGGAAGAAGAGUCGAUAAGCAGACGAGAAGAGAAAGUGAAAGCCCCAGGGAAUUGUGCUGAUCAAAGUUGAAUGAAAGUGAUGGGUUGGUCAGGCAUUUGCUGAGGCUGGAAAUAAAGAUUCUUCUGAAGUGUACAAUAAUUGGACUUGUUCAAAGAGUUUCUCUGGGAAGAAAAAGAUGAAAUUAAGCCGUGGAAAUUUUUGGCCAAGUCAUGAAAACACAUUUUCCAAAAGAGCUGUUAAUUUGACAGUGGAAUGAGUCACAGCCCAUGGGCAGGUCUGAAAGUCCCAUCAACUGAAUUACUGAAAACUUAACUGGACAAUAAAAAAUGUAUGGUUAAGGCAACCAUCCCUGAAGGGCUAGGCCAGAGAGACACCGUGUCCCUGUUUGAACUUUUCCUUUGUAUUUUCAGUCCAAAUUAACAUGGAAAAUUACCUGAUACUUCAGAUCAUGAGAGUAGCAGGGCCAGAUUAUUUCAGGAUGGGAGGUGUUUCCUAUUUCACUUGUCUUCAGGGUCAAAUUCAUUGAAUGGUGACCAGACUUUCAAUGUUGCUAUGACGGCAGGUCUGGCACUAACUAGUUGAUAGUUGGAAAAUAAAGUUUCUCAUGGAACUUAAACCUUGAAUUUCCCAAGUUAUAGAAAGGUAUGGUACCAUUUAAUAACAAUGGCACCUGAGUGUAACUUGCUAAAUAGAAGUGGCCAAGAGUGGUAUUUAAAAUCUAGUUUUAUAAGCAUUUUUCUUUAAAUGUAUAGCGGUCCUUCCACUACCUCCUCCUUCAUUAUUGGUUAAAAAGAAAAGACGAGGCGUGGUUCUCACAUCUUGACACACUAUGAAAGGCCUGGUAGCUCAGCUCAACUCUAACUCCUCCGGGAAGCCCUUCCCACCUCCUUGGUUCAGG
rnacentral:lncRNA from 1 species